GUGGGGGUGCAGGGGCCGUGGGGCUGAUCCUCGGUUUCAGGCUCGGGGAAUGGGGGCAGGCUGAGGCUUUAGGGUCCCCUGGGGGCUCCGGGAUCGGGGCCUUCCCCAGGGGACAGGGGACACAGCCUGUCUCCAGGGGACAUGGCCUCCCCGCACAGGCCAGGGUCUCACCCCAAGGAAUAGGGGACACGGACUUUUCCCAAGGGAUGGGGCUUCCCCCAAGGAAUAGGGGACGUGGCAUCCCAUAAGGGACAGGGCCUCACCCAAGGGACAGGGAACAUGGCCUCCCUCUGAGGGACGUGGCCUCCAACCAAGGGGCAGGGGACACAGCCACCCCACAAGUGACAUGGCCUCCCCCCAAAGGGGUAGGGGACACGGCCUCUUCCCAGGGGACAGGGCCUCCCCUGAGGGACAGGGCCUCCCCCCAAGGGGACAGGGAAAACAGCUUCCAUCCGGGGUCAGGGGACAUGGCUUCCCCCCAAGGGAUAGGGGACAGGGCUCCCCCCCAAGGGGACAGGAUCUCCCCCAGGGGACACGGCCUCCCUCCCGGGGACAUGGCCUCCCCCUUUGGGCCAGGGGUCUCCCCAAAGGACAAGGGACACGGCCUCCCCCCGAGCCAUCUCCACGGGGUUUUCACACCAACCACAAACCCGCUGCCCUCUCCGAGCCCCCUCCCAAUCACACAAACCCCACAGCCCCCUCCUCGCCCCCCGACACCCCCCAAAAUCCCCUCUGCACCCCCGUGCCCGGAAGGAGGAGCCCCGGCUGUGCAGGAGUUGUCCUUUAUUUGGGGGUUCACAGUCGGUUCGGGGGGAGCAGCGCCUUCCACCCCUGCGAGCGGAGCUGGAACCCGAAGAUGGGGGGGCCCAGGGCUGGAGAGAGCUGCGGGGUGAAGCAGGGAGGGGUGGGGGACACCCCCACGGCUCCGGCCCUACAAGACCGGCCGGGAUACGAGGGCUCCAGCGCUUCCCUCUCCGUGUCCGUGGUGUCCCCAGGGUUCUUUGGCUUCCUUUGGGCAUUGCACGCUCCGGGGAAGUGCCGAGGGAGGGGGGGGAAAAAAAUCUCAUUGCGUG
rnacentral:lncRNA from 1 species